rnacentral:rRNA from 1 species
UACGUAGGGGGCGAGCGUUGUCCGGAGUUACUGGGCGUAAAGCGUGCGCAGACGGUCAUGUAAGUCGGGUGUGAAAGCCCCGGGCUCAACCUGGGAAUUGCAUUCGAGACUGCAUGGCUAGGGUGCGGAAGAGGGAAGCGGAAUUUCCGGUGUAGCGGUGAAAUGCGUAGAUAUCGGAAGGAACACCAGUGGCGAAAGCGGCUUCCUGGUCCAGCACCGACGUCAGGCACGAAAGCGUGGGGAGCAAACAGG